rnacentral:rRNA from 1 species
UACCUCAGUAACGGCGAGUGAAGCGGUAACAGCUCAAAUUUGAAAUCUGGCCUCACGGUCCGAGUUGUAAUUUGUAGAGGAUGCUUCGAGCAUGGUCUGGCCUAAGUUCCUUGGAACAGGACGUCAUAGAGGGUGAGAAUCCCGUAUGCGGCCAGGUGCCUACGCUCAUGUGAAGCUCCUUCGACGAGUCGAGUUGUUUGGGAAUGCAGCUCAAAAUGGGUGGUAAAUUUCAUCUAAAGCUAAAUAUUGGCCAGAGACCGAUAGCGCACAAGUAGAGUGAUCGAAAGAUGAAAAGCACUUUGGAAAGAGAGUUAAACAGUACGUGAAAUUGUUGAAAGGGAAGCGCUUGCAACCAGACUUGCGCGCGGCCGAUCAUCCGGUGUUCUCACCGGUGCACUCGGCCGUGCUCAGGCCAGCAUCGGUUUUGGCGGCUGGAUAAAGGCCAUAGGAAUGUAGCUCCUCUCGGGGAGUGUUAUAGCCUAGGGUGCAAUGCAGCCUGCUGGGACCGAGGACCGCGCUUCGGCUAGGAUGCUGGCGUAAUGGUUGUAAGCGGCCCGUCUUGAAACACGGACCAAGGAGUCUAACAUCUAUGCGAGUGUUUGGGUGUCAAACCCAUACGCGUAAUGAAAGUGAACGGAGGUGAGAACCCUUAAGGGUGCAUCAUCGACCGAUCCUGAUGUCUUCGGAAGGAUUUGAGUAAGAGCAUAGCUGUUGGGACCCGAAAGAUGGUGAACUAUGCCUGAAUAGGGUGAAGCCAGAGGAAACUCUGGUGGAGGCUCGCAGCGGUUCUGACGUGCAAAUCGAUCGUCAAAUUUGGGUAUAGGGGCGAAAGACUAAUCGAACCAUUGACCUGUAGGAACACUACUAGGUGGGUUAAGAGGCGGCUAAAAGUGCCGUCUAGUCCCGACGCCGGGGCGACACUGUCAAAUUGCGGGAACAUCCUUAGAGCCUAGACUACCGCAGCCUUCCCGAAAGGGGGGUGCGCACCAGGGUAACGACCUCGGGUAUGGUAAUAACGUCUAGGAUUGGACAAUCCGCAGCCAAGCCCUACGGACCUCGGUCUAUGGGUGCAGUUCAUCGACUAGAUGGCAGUGGGUGGCAGCAAUGCCGCUUAAGAUAUAGUCAGACCCCCGGGAGACCGGGCGGCAGAACGAAGACCGUGGGGGGCGUCCUCUCUGAGAGCCCCGCGGUCCCGAGUCUGCUGGUGGCGUUGCA